rnacentral:rRNA from 1 species
GACGACGCUGGCGGCGUGCUUAACACAUGCAAGUCGAACGAGUGGCGAACGGGUGAGUAAUGUAUGGGGAUCUGCCCGAUAGAGGGGGAUAACUACUGGAAACGGUGGCUAAUACCGCAUACUAUCGGAUGACCCCAUAUGGGAUUAGCUAGUAGGUGGGGUAAAGGCUCACCUAGGCGACGAUGUCUAGCUGGUCUGGAAGGAGGAUCAGCAACACUGGGACUGAGACAAGGCCCAGACUCCGACGGGAGGCAGCAGGGGGGAAUAUGGCACAAUGGGCGCAAGCCUGAUGCAGCCAUGCCGCGGGUAUGAAGAAGGCCUUAGGGUGGUAAAGUACUUUCAGCGGGGAGGCGUGACCCGCAGAAGAAGCACCGGCUAACUCCGUGCCAGCAGCCGCGGUAAUAC